rnacentral:misc_RNA from 1 species
GAAAUGCGAUAAGUAGUGUGAAUUGCAGAAUUCAGUGAAUCAUCGAAUCUUUGAACGCACAUUGCGCCCCUUGGUAUUCCAUGGGGCAUGCCUGUUCGAGCGUCAUUUGUACCCUCAAGCUCUGCUUGGUGUUGGGUGUUUGUCCCGUCUCCGCGCGUGGACUCGCCCCAAAGUGAUUGGCAGCCGGCGUACUGGUCCCGGAGCGCAGCACAUGUCGCGCAAACGAGUGCCUUGGUACGGCGGCGUCCAUAAGCCCCUCUCUCACGCUCUUGACCUCGGAUCAGGUAAGGAUACCCGCUGAACUUAAGC